rnacentral:rRNA from 1 species
UAAUGAUGGGUAGGGGAGCUUCCCAUACGGGUUGAAGCAUGACCGUAAGGACAUGUGGACAGUAUGGGAGUGAGAAUGUUGGCAUGAGUAGCGAGAUGUGGGUGAGAAUCCCACAGGCCGUAAACCCAAGGUUUCCAGGGGGAGGUUCGUCCGCCCUGGGUUAGUCGGGACCUAAGCUGAGGCCGAAAGGCGUAGGUGAUGGACAACAGGUUGAUAUUCCUGUACUACCGAUAACCGUUUGAGAGAAGGGAUGACACAGUAGGAUAAGCUAAGCACACUGUUGGUUAUGUGUGCCCAAGCAUUGAGGCAGUCAAAGUAGGCAAAUCCGCUUUGAUAAUGCUGGGAUGUGAUGGGGAGCGAAAUUUAGUAGCGAAGUAGCUGAUUUCACACUGUCAAGAAAAGUCUCUAUCGAGGUUAAAGGUACCCGUACCGCAAACCGACACAGGUGGGUGAGGAGAGUAUCCUAAGGCCAGCGAGAGAACUGUUGUUAAGGAACUCGGCAAAAUGACCCCGUAACUUAGGGAUAAGGGGUGCCACCAUCAGGUGGCCGCAGAGAAUAGGCCCAAGCGACUGUUUACCAAAAACAUAGGUUUCUGCUAAGUCGCAAGACGAUGUAUAGGAGCUGACGCCUGCCCGGUGCUGGAAGGUUAAGGGGAUCUGUUAGAGUAAUCGAAGCAGUGAACUUAAGCCCCAGUAAACGGCGGCCGUAACUAUAACGGUCCUAAGGUAGCGAAAUUCCUUGUCGGGUAAGUUCCGACCCGCACGAAAGGCGUAACGAUUUGGGCACUGUCUCAACAACAGACUCGGUGAAAUUGUAAUUCCGGUGAAGAUGCCGGAUACCUGCGACAGGACGGAAAGACCCCAUGGAGCUUUACUGUAGCUUGACAUUGGGUCUUGGUACUACAUGUACAGGAUAGGUGGGAGGCUUUGAAACCAGGACGCCAGUUUUGGCGGAGCCAUCCUUGGGAUACCACCCUUGUAGUACUGGGACUCUAACCAUAGGCCAUGAAUCUGGUCUUGGGACACUGUCAGGUGGGCAGUUUGACUGGGGCGGUCGCCUCCCAAAAGGUAACGGAGGCGCUCAAAGGUUCUCUCAGUACGGUCGGAAAUCGUACGUAGAGUGUAAAGGCAAAAGAGAGCUUGAUUGCAAGACAUACAGGUCGAGCAAGGAUGAAAAUCGGACUUAGUGAUCCGGUGGUUCUGCGUGGAAGGGCCAUCGCUCAACGGAUAAAAGCUACCCUGGGGAUAACAGGCUUAUCUCCCCCAAGAGUCCACAUCGACGGGGAGGUUUGGCACCUCGAUGUCGGCUCAUCACAUCCUGGGGCUGUAGUAGGUCCCAAGGGUUGGGCUGUUCGCCCAUUAAAGUGGUACGCGAGCUGGGUUCAGAACGUCGUGAGACAGUUCGGUCCCUAUCCGUCGCAGGCGUAGGAAAUUUGAGAAGACCUGUCCUUAGUACGAGAGGACCGGGAUGGACG